CUUCGCUUUUUCAGCAACCUGAACGACGCGGUGGCCUUUUGCCGUAACAACAGCCUGUGCAAGGGAUUCAACUCCGACGGCUACACAAAGACUCUGGUAGUGCCGACAGCCAGGCGUCCUGGCUUCUGCCUCUGGACAAAGCUCCCUUCUCCCCCAUCGCCACCAUCGCCGCCACCGCGGCCGCCGUCGCCACCUCCACGGCCGCCGUCACCGCGGCCCCCGUCACCUCCACGGCCGCCACCGCGACCGUCGCCGCCUCCGCCUUCUCCGCUGCCGCCGUCACCGCCGUCCCCUCCGCCACCACCGCCCUCACCGUCACCGCCGCCGCCAUCGCCACCGCCGCCGCCACCGCCACCGCUGACGCCUCCGUCAUCGCCUCCGCCGUCUCUACCACCGCCGUCUAUACCCCCGCCGAUGACGCCGGUGACUGAAAAUCCCACCGGUACGGAGUUGGGUUCUUCCCUAAAUCGCUACUCUGUGUAUCACGUACAUGCACACUACACACCUACACAUGUACGCACGCACAUACAUACACAAGGAUUCAUAGCCAUUUAUUUCUUGCUCUGAUGCCGCUGUCGGCUGUCCUCCCGCGUUGUGUGCCUAAACCCUAAAGUACAUCCACCGUGUUCCAUGUUCACGGGUUGAUCGGGGCAGUGCGCGCCCUCCGAUGCGCCCUCAGUCUUAAUCGCCUUCCUGCAAACAUUGAACGCAGAGCACCAAGCGCGAUCCUAAGACCUUCAUUUGUCCGAUUCUGGCAUCGACUGUCGUUUUAUAUUUUGUGCAGGUUGUGUGGCAAUUCCGGGAUUCAGCGUGAUCUCAGGCGUCGACCUCGCCGUACCUGCCAGCCAGUUCAAGAACAUUCUGCUCGGGCAGUACAGCCUUCUAGCCGACGCGGCGACUGCCUGCACCGCCAACGCACGUUGCAUGGGUUUCAAUGGCGACGGCUUGACGCUGACGGCCGUCAGCCCCAUGAUCCCCCUCGCAGGCUCCUGCCUGUACAUAAAAACCCUGCAGUCUGGGUAGAUGAUGUGCACUCUCUACCCGUACUACCCGCCCAGCGGCCCAGCCAGACAGCCGUACCCCACAGCAGUAGCACACGUACCGGUAUCGGUAGUAUUCAAACAACAACACUAAAUCUCGUUAAUCUGAUUUAUGAUUGAACUAUUGGUUACAUGGAUUUAUGACUGAUUGCUGCAUGCCUCUACUGAAUUAGCUACUCGAUUAGCUUGUUUGCUAGUCCAUUCGUCAGUUGCCAUUAUUCAAGGGUUGGCACCAUUCUGGCGGUACAACUGUUCAUAAGGUGGUUGGUUGGUCGGUUAGUCGGUUGGUUGGUUGCUGGAUGCAGCAAACAAGCUCUCAUCAGACGGCACCGGGGAGCGAGAGCGUCUGCUGGCUUGAUGAGUAGCAAGUCCUUUUUACAUACGUACCGCCCCUUCCACGAGGCAUUGGGUACGGCAAUGCUGGCAAAGGGGUGCUCGGCAACUAACCGCUCUCCGUCGUGAAGCCAGCUAGCCACUAGCUAGCGGGAGCAUAUGCUUUGCUACGUCUCCCAGUAGAUUUGUAGCGCAGGUAACACUGCCAUGAUGAUGUAUGUGCGAGUAGUGCGAUAAAGGUGGGCAAAAUAAAGCCACCAGCGUGUGCUUGCGUAUCCGUGUGUGUGUGUGUGCGCGUAUGUAUGCAUGUGUGUGUAUGUUAUGGUAGGUCUCUCUCUGCGUGUGCGAUAUUGCGCGCUGCCCCAGCAGCUUUCUGCACACAAGCUGUCAGCUAUCUCCGAGGUGAAGUCAUCUGGGGUAGGUGUUGCCAUGUACGGCAGCGCGCCAUAAGUUGUACAGCUUAUUUAGGUAGUUUGAUUAAUAUGCAAAGGCUUAUCCGCCUACUACGCAGUAUGUGCGCGCUCGAAAGCCCUUCAUCAAUUUGCGCCGUGCGCAUCAUCAUGUGCGUGACUGGCUUGUAAGGACUACGGCAGCAGGGACGGCCGGCAAGGGCCUUUGGGUUGUGCACGCAACCUCCUUGGCAUGAAUGGCGCAAUCUAGAUGAGCAACGUACUCAAUCGUAUCCUUCACCGGAUGGAGCGGGUGUCGCUGCUGAGCCUGAUGCCGGUCGUCUCAAUCACCUAUUUAUAGCUGUAUAAUGCGAGACAACGUAUUUAGUAUUAAAAGCCCAAGUGCCUCUGCUAGACUCUUUUGAUUUUAUGAAGCGCGCCUGAGUCGAUUACCAUUGUUGGGGCCUAGCAUCUACUGUGCUUGCUUAACCGUAGUGAGGUAUUGUCGGAAGAUUUUCAAAAAGCCCUUGGACCGCGCGGCAGGCAUCAGGGCCGCAUGUAAGGUGACACACAUAUACACGCAACCAACCAUUUAAGACGCACUUUUACGCCACACAAUUUUGCGCCAAGAUGGUUAUUAAGUAAGAGUGUUUGAGCAAAGGAAGCAAGUCGAAAUCUGAAUCAGCAGGCAAGGCGAAAAAAAUAUGACUAACUUAUCAGUUUAAUACGUACCUGUACACACAUAAAUACAACAAAAAAAGGCAUCGCUCCAGACCACGUAUACGUGUUGCAACCUGGAUCGAUGCCCAGCAGAUCAAAUAGCGCAUCUAUCCUUCAGAAGCCUCAAUUUAGCUUAUUAAUGGAGCGAAUCUCUGUUCAGUUGCUGGUAUGGUGCGAAAGUCCUAAUCAGGCGACCUAAGCAGGUUCAGCCUCGCGAACCCGCUGACACGGGUUCAGCAAACGGGUUCAGCAAGCGGUAACCGUACCGGUGCCGAUUUCCGGUAACCGAUUUCUGGGUUUAUAUGCGCGGGGCACACACCGCGCCAAAUGCCUAGCUCACAGCAACAUUGAAGGGAUAUCGCACGGCGGUGACGGGCACGGCAACCGGUAUCGAUUCACCACAAAGAUGCAGAACGUAUUGCACUUAUUGAGGCAGACAUUUGCGAGAGCUCCGCUGAGUGCGAAAACACCAUUAGUUCACAUUUACGGAUAUUAGGCCGUAUUAGGCCUGAGUCCGAAGAUCGAGCUACACUCACAAACAAUGUCUGUUUUCAACAAGGACUGCAUACAACGGCUAGAGGGGGCAACUAGUCUAAGGCCGUCCGCGUGCAGAGGCAUUGUAACAGGGGCGCCACUUACCUUACGAGAGGCGCCCUAAGGCGAACCAUCGGUGGUUCGCCUUACCUCGCCGAGAGGGAUAUCCCUCUCGGCAACCAUGUCAGCCAAAAUUUCAAUGAAAAGCCUGAACAUCUCCGUACUCAGGAGGCAACCACGUAACAAGGAUAAAAACAAAAUAUAUGAGCUGCCUGAUUAGGCCGGGGUCCAGGAUAUUAGCUGGCACCGGGCCAGCUGGCACCGGGCCAGCUGGCGCGCUGGCUCUACUCUUUGUAAGUCUUGGAGCCCUCUGAAACCACCACGCACAUACCGGGCACACUGAGCACUGUUUGGUCAUCCAUGGCCGUCUUAGGGCACGGAGCACGGGGUAAAACAGACCCACCCCGGCUCGGUUUACGCAUGCAUUUAUGGCUGGAUCCGCCGUGGGGUUGUGGGGCUGUGGCUGUGGCUGCGGCUGUGGCUGUGGCUGUGGCUGUAUGUGAGUCCUCCAGAUCCAGACUGGUACUUAUAGGCGAUCUGGCAGCCCUUGAGCCCUCGGCUCGUAUUGGGCGGUUUGCAGGUACGGGGAACGCACCCCACGACCAUGUAGCACACACACAUACACACAAAUACAGAGAGAGAGAGAGAGAGAGAGAGAGAGAGAGAGAGAGAGAGAGAGAGACCCAGACUAAAGGAAUGUGGAGAGGGCCGAAAUACUGCAUGCAUUCAGUCCGUCAAGUAUACUGAAGGGUGGGUGUCAUGCAGCCUUUUCCAAGCUGAAAUUGAUCUUAGCAGCGGUAUAUAACCAAGUAAGGGUGCGCACGUGUUUUUUUUAGCAAACACAAACCAGUUAACCCCUACUCAAGCACUGAUCGAAUAGAGUUCUUCACCAUCGUUCGUUUUGCAUCACGUUGAAAGAUAACACUACAAGACUUUCCAGAUUGCAAAAGCAAUGAUGCACAGCAGCAAUCAAACCAGAACCGCCAAACGCAACCUCUGCGGUUGGUUGCAGCCCCUGCUGUUGAUGCUGCAUGCUAGUUAGCGGUUCAUUAUGUACCGGCCCCUGCUGCUGACGGCCUUCCACUUCUCCAGUGCCACCUCAAAGGGGAACGUGUGCUGGUCGUAAAGGUCUUGCGUGAACAUGAACAUGCGCACGCGCAGUGCCAGGUGCUUGUCCAGCUGUCCGCUUGCGGACGUGCAGCAGCCUGAACAUGUCCUUAGCGACCUUGUAGUCGGUCAUGGUGCGGCCCACACCAGCUGCCAGAAGAGGAAGCGGAGCUGCUGCAGGCGGGCCUGCUCCACCUCGGAGUUACCGGGCCGGGCGUGAAGAGCUGCGCCAGGCUCUGCAUCUUUAGCUUCUGCAGUGCCAGUUCACCCUCCCGAAGCUGAGCUGCAUUGACAGCCUUCAUGUGCCCGGCGGAGGUAUCGUGUGAUGCAAGGGUCUCCCUCCGGCACUCAAUGACGUACUCGCGCCCUUUGUGCAGGGAGCAUGGGCCGCAGCGCACCAUGUCGUGCACCUCCCCCUUACUCACAUCCGCCGUAAUGCACUGCGCCCAUGUAAACAUAGCUCCAAAGUACAGCUGCCACUUGAGGGGAUGCUUGUCCUUCUUCUCCAGCCAUGCGCCGUCGCUCUGCCCCUUCACGACCCGCUGUGUCUGCGGUCGGGGCGGCUUUGUGCCGUGGAGUGUGGGGUUAGGUGUCUUAGCUGCAGCGCCGGGGUUGCUGCUGCCAUUGACCUCGACGCCCGUGUUUCCUGGCCCAUUGCGAUUGUCUUCAUAUGAAGAACGUUGACGUUUGGCCCGCUCGCUGUUGACAACCGGAGUGGCGUCAUUGUCGUCGGCUGGCUGCAGCAUUGCGUCCACAUUGCCUACGACCUCUUCGUUAACGUCGCUAAUGGCUUCAGUGAAGUUUAAUAUCUGCUUUAAUGGCCUGCCAUGCUUUGGGAGCUUCGGGUCCGAAUAUUUUGCAGCGUUUGGUCCGGUCAGAAACAGUCCGAUUCCUCGUUGACUUUCGGGCGUGACCUUCCUAACAGUUUCCAUGGCAUUAAAGUACUAUGAUAUGGUUAACAUAUAUGUCUCCUGUAAGAUCCUAGCGGCUUUGGCAUGGACAGUCCAUUUUUGGCUGGAGGAAUGAACUUGUACGGUUGGAACAUUAUAUGUGUGAAACAGGGGGGUGUAUCUUCGCCCGUGGCAGCUACCCUGCGAAACCCUGCCUUCCGCGGUAUUUCGGGCACCCUCAUCCAGUCACCCUAGUCAACUACUCAGUGGAUCGCUCAGGUUCCGCACCCACCACCAGCGUCCAACGGAAUCUGCCGGGUCGACAGCGGCCCAACUCUAUUCCUGGUGAGCUCGCAGGUUAACUUUAUCCCAGGUCACCACCGUCCAUCAACUAGGGGCGCAAUACCUUCCACCAUCGGAAGGAUUUUAGACCCUAACGGGUAUCGAUCCCGGGAUCUCCCGGGGGCAAUGGCCGCGCGUUACCAGUAGUGCCAAACCCUAGUAUAUGUAUCCUUAAUUUUCAGGACCGCGAACAAUUUCUUAUUCCGAAUUCGGAGUAUAUUCCGCAAAAAAAACGCUGUAUGUAUGUGCCAGCUAGCCUGGCAAUAUGCCAGCCAGCCUGGUACGCCCAUGUGGCACAUGGCGUAUGUGUGUAUGUGUGUGUAUGUGUGUGUAUGUGUGUGUAUGUGUGUGUAUGUGUGUGUAUGUGUGUGUAUGUGUGUGUAUGUGUGUGUAUGUGUGUGUAUGUGUGUGUAUGUGUGUGUAUGUGUGUGUAUGUGUGUGUAUGUGUGUGUAUGUGUGUGUGUAUCUGUGUGUGUAUGUGUGUGUAUGUGUGUGUAUCUGUGUGUGUAUCUGUGUGUGUAUCUGUGUGUGUAUCUGUGUGUGUAUCUGUGUGUGUAUCUGUGUGUGUAUCUGUGUGUGUAUCUGUGUGUGUAUCUGUGUGUGUAUCUGUGUGUGUAUGUGUGUGUGUGUGUAUGUGUGAGAUGUAUGUGUGUAUGUGUGUGUGUGUGUGUGUGAGAGAGAGAGAGAGAGAGAGAGUGAGUUACGUAAGUACCCUCUUACCUCGCACUUCAGACAAAGCAAGUGAUGAAGGAUACUAACGACCCAAGGGAACGAUAAGCGUUGCGGUGGGACCACAUACUUUCCAGCAUCUUCGCCAGACGUUCAGGUUCCCACUUUAUAACGUCCUUCAUAUGCUCAAAGCGUGUGAAAUCCAUAUCAGGUCUGAUUUCGCUGUACACCGGACAGUCCAGCAAGACGUGCUCUGACCGAUCGGAUGUGUGCUCCAGAUUUUGCCUUCAGGCCUUCAGGAUGCUCGCGGUAGGCACACGCGCCCACCAGUUAACAUUCCGCUCCUGCAACGGGAGCCACGUCAUCUAUGUAUGCGUGGGUUGCGGAAGCGCAUCGGACACGGAGCACAUGCAGGGGUGGUGCGACAGCAUCUCCUCCUUGGCAAGAACCCUCCAAACAACGGCAUGCGAGCAGGUAAAAUAUGACCGCGCAUUAAUGCAGGGUAAUUUACUUUUCGAUGCAGAAUAUGGCGAGCAGGAGAAGGGUUUCUCCAGGUUUAACUCCGUUUUUUACGAGCUCGUGCUGGAAGCGCCGUAGCAUCAGUGUCCGCUGCUUCGGCGGGCUUGUUCUGCUCAGGUUUAACUGGCUUGACGCACAUUGGACGAAUAAAUGGCAUAUAAGAGUUCAGUACCUAGGUUGUUUUGUGUAUCCACGAGCGCCGCGCGAAGGAAUGAUGAGUACUCGUAACCACUCGUCGCCCAUCACACGACACAUGCGCACCACCACCACCACACCAUCAAUACAAUCACCAAAUUCAAAGUCGCAAAUUAGGCUCACAGAGCUGUCGUGGCUCGGCAGCGACGUAUGUGCUGCAUGUCUGACUUGUUACGCAGCGUGGCACACGUCUCAUGCAAUUAGUUGCGUUUGUGGUGGGACGGCCUAAGAUACGUGGGUUAUGGCCUUGUAAACCUUUCUGUAUAGCGGAUGCCCAUUGAAUUAAGCUUGCAUUGUUUUUGAAGCAUUAUGUACAGCGGCCGAAUGCAUUGAGCGCGCCAUGCGCAUAGCGCGCUAGGGAGAUAUAAUUCAAUACAGAUAUUUGCGCAAGGUAUCAUAGCGUGCCUGCAUGGGCAUUACUGCAAUGUGCUGCAAGGCAUCUGCUGCUGCUGGCGCGCUGGGGCUAAGAUUUGGGUGAUGAAUGGGAUCAAAGUAUAAUUAUUCGUAAUUAAAUAAAUUCUGUUUUUUAUGUAUUGACGUCAAGGCUCAUCAUUAGCCCCUGCUGAGUUCUGCGCGAUAAACCUCCGAGCGGCAGCCGUAAGGAUCAACGUUGCACCGCGCCGUGCAGAACGAUUAAGCUCAUAUUAUUAUAAUAUAAUAAGACGAAUUGUUACAGCCACAGGUGCGCUGUUCUUUAAUGUCUGUCUGGAUUCAAAUAAUUUUGCUCAUAUACCCACAGGGACGUAACAUGGAUGCAAAAGGUCAGUCAAAGUUUUUAUUUAUUUAUCUAGAAUUAUCAGCGCUAAUUUAUGGAGAAUUUUGGGAAGGCUGCGUCGUGUGCAUGGGACGAUGUGGCAGGCGCCCGCCUCGUGCUUUUUUCUGACCUUUUCGGGAUACAUGACGGCUUCUACCGAGCAUGCGUAUAUUCGUCUAUGUGGAUGUAUGUUGCAGCUCGAAAUUACAGACGUCGCAGAGAUUAGCGGGACUGAGCUAGAGAAAAGCACUUGACGACUGUGAGAAAGAUGAGCUAAGUACGACUAAAACAGAAACAUGCAGGAAUAUAAAAGGAAAUGGGGCGAGUGAGCUAAUAACCUGGGAGCAAGAAAGUUUUAUUAAGGCUUCCAUUUCAUUGGUUAUUUCCCAACCUUCGACCUGGCUUACCAAGGUUCCGAUACCCGCGGCAUUACACAGCUCCAACUACAAGUAAGUGAGCGCAAUAUUCAAAAUACAAUUAUGCCGAAAUUUGUGAUGUGUCGUGCUGGGUUGGGAUCUUUGCAAGAGGAAUCCUCGUCUGUAUGAUAUGCUCCUCACGCACGGACUAGGCAGGGCGGAAACCAACUAUUGAAUCGACUCUCGAGUUUUAUUGUGCGAUCAAUUUACUUUACAAUUGCCUUGGCCUUGUCGUGUCUAAGACAGCGAGAAACGCGCCUAGCUGCUUGUUCCGUUAACGUAGCGCUGCGGCCCUCGGCACCCUGUAUCGUCCGCAGGGAGCUGUUUCUCAAGGGUCUGCUAAACGAUAGCAUCUGGCCACUGCUGCUGGCUUGUCGCCAUGACCCGGCCGCUGAGCCAAAUGUUCCCGCCGAUGCGGCUGCUGACGGUUUCGGUAUUCCUGUGCAUCAUUCAGAGCUCCGCAAUUCCCCCAGCUGAGGCUAUUGGACUUGGGCAGGAGCUAGGAGGUGAUAAUAGCCGUAGGCUAUCGAGCACUGACACGAUAAUGCAAGAUGCCCCUGCCGUUUCCCGUCGAGGUUGUUGGAACCGCCGGCACCGAGCUGGCAUGAUUUUUGCUGGUUGUUUAAUGCCGAUGCAGAUAACUCCGGAUCCAGCGAAUUUGUGCUUUCGGAUGGAGGGACGGCACGGAGGCAGCUACACCAAACCAGUAAGUUUCCUUCAUUCGUUCUGUCCAUCGGGCUUUUCACUUGUGAAGCGUGUGGAUUUGCAUGCGCAUCAGCAACCUUAGCUGUCUGCUUUGGCAUCCCCGAAAGUCUGCUUGCUGCUUGCAUAGAGGGUAGAGUGCAGUCCGUUCGUAAUUGUUCCUCCUGUUCCCUUGUUUCGGUUCGUAAGAACAGAGCCUUUGAUGUUUGUAUUCUCACAUUUUUUUGCCUUUACUUUGCCUUUACUUAGCGAGCUACGGUACUUAAAAAAAAUCGGUAUGGAUGGGUUGUUUUAGUUGUCUUCGCCAACAAUGGACGGAAUGCCGGGGCGGGUGCUUGACAUCCUGAGUCGUCGAUCCUGAUUCCUAAUCCUGCACGCGCAUAUAUCAUGCAGCGCGCAGCAUGCAUAUGCAUGUGUCAUCCGGCCAUCCUUUGUUCCUCCUUGCUCUGCCGCAGCCUGUAACAAGAACCUAGGCUACAAGGUGUACCCGGACAUGGAUCACGUAGGAGACACCAUUACAACCUCCAACAGACCGGCUACGCAGUGCACAAACGACGCUAACUGCGUCGCCUACAACUCUAACGGGCAACUAAAGCGGGCUUGGUCUCCCAUGACCAAAUCGACUGGGACUUGCCUGUACAUCAAGGAAGCUUUCGCGCCGACAGGUAAGAGGUGUCAACGGUGACGUUAUAUAAUACAUGCAUGGACUAAUACACCUUGCGCGUGCUAGCGGCGUCUGAGCAGUGUAGGUAAGAUGCUCCAGAUACAUCCGGAUCCUGCAGGUGGCGGCAAACCUGAUUACCUGUAAUAGCAAACCCACAGUUGGCAAACAACGUUUCUAUGUUGACCUUAGUGGCCGAUAGGGACUUAGACUGGUGACCAGAGGUCGGCAAAUAAGGCGGGUACUGCGGGUCCGCAGUACCACAGUAACCGCAGCCGAAAUUCGGCUUAAGCCCCCGUAAGGCUGCGGGUCUCUAAUGACCGAAAUUUGACCAAAAGACGUGAUUUGCGGCCUCUAUUGGGGCCCGUAGGGCCACGCGCUGAACUGGAACUCUGUGUUUGACUUUGAAUUGUUUUUAGGUUUACUGACCGAAAUUACGCCCUCCCGCAGCCGUAGAAACCGGUUUGCCGGCCUCUGGGCUGGACUAACGCCCCCGAUCUAGUCCAAUGGCAACACCGAAACGCAUACCGGUAUACAACGGGGGAAACGGGCAGGAGGCCCGAUUCCCGGCGCCGCUCACUGCAAAGACUUAAGAAACGAACAGCAAAUACAUAAAAAAAUUCGCGAAUAGUUGAUGCUCUAUACGUGAUGCGGAUGCCGUGAAGAGCUGUGGCAGAGGGCAGGUAAAACCCUAAGGAAACACUAUCUAACCUGUGCGACAACUCCAUACUUUUACUCGAUUGAAGCUAGAUGAUUCUAUUUGUACUGGUGUCUCUCCAAACGAGAAGUCUGAGCGCGAAAGGUGCGUCGGCUGUAAGUCACGGAAGUAAGGGUGUAUUUCCAGUGCGGAUUAAGGCCGGGGAUUAGGGCACGGAAGUCCUUGGUACGAGCUUAGCACAUAGUUUCGUUCCAUAAGGGAACCAAAGGUUGAAAAGGCGAGGUAAGUUUGCCAACAACUUAGCCGUUUGAGCACGUAUCGAUGGAGGACAGAGGGCUAAUCCCUGGCCUUAAUCCGCACUGGAAAUACACCCUAAAUGGAACAUACAGACGAGGAAAUGAAGAAGGCGGCGAUUAUCAAUCGCUGAGAAACUAAUGCUAACGCACAAAAAACGUCAACUCGCUCGAAACGGAACUCCUUGGCGGUUAUCGCGGAUCAUUUGAUGCAUUUGGUUGUCGAUGGCUCAGACUAUUUGCCGGACGGGUCAGGUGGGCCGGACUUAGACUAGGAAAUCUGACUCCUAGGUGUGUGUGGUUGUUACAGUGGGCUCCAGACUCACGAAGAGUAGAGCCAGCGGGCCAGCGGGCCGUGCACUGCACUAGAGACUAAUAUACAAACUAGACAAUCACCCAGAUGAGACAAGUAAUGGCAAUUAACCAGUCAAAACAGCGACCAAAGGGAAGGCUCAGGACCCCCAAUUAUUAUUGAAAUAGGCCUCAGCCUGAAAAGCCCUCCAAUUAAGAGAAUCAAAAAAGAAAAUAGGUGAUAGCUAAUUGUGUUGUGGGCGACGCGUAUACAUCGUCUUCCCGUCUUCCCUCCUGCAUUUCCCUCCCGCCUGUUGUGUGGACGUUCCUGACUUAUUCCUACGCUCCCAUGUGGUGUACCGCAGCUUGCGCCAGCUAUGAAGGUUACACUGCAUCGGCCGACGUGGACGUUCGCGGCAACAAUAUAUCCAAUCUCGCACUCGGAAAGGCAGCCACCCGCUGCUUAGCUGACCCAAAAUGCAAGGGCUUCAACAGCGCCGGGUGGCUAAAGAGCGCCCUGGCACCCUUGGUACAGUCCAGGGGAAUCUGUUUUUACACCAAGAUUGAUGAGUCGUCACCGCCGCCGCCGUCGUUAUCACCACCACCGCCGAAGUCGCCACCACCACCACCGCCGCCGUCGCCA
rnacentral:lncRNA from 1 species